CAGCGCACCUCAGUAUGGAAAGAGUAAAGGAUCAGGAAUUGUGAAACUCACUUGAGUGUCUGCCUGAACCCAGCUGACUGUGAGGAGAGAACUGAUCUGAUUGGAUGAUUUAUUUAUCACUGACUCUGCACUCGGCUGUAUUUCUGUCUCUAUUCAGUGUGUGGAAGUCAGUGACAAGUGAAUUCAUCUGAGCUGCUGGUUUACUGACAAACUUCAGGAUGAAAUUAUUUCUCAUCUUUUUCACACUAAUGUGUGUGAGGGACACUGAAUCACAGUUUAAACAUCAUGAACUGCUAACAGUCGAAUGUUCAGAGAAGAAUAAGGAGUAUACGGCAGGGGCCGAUGGAGAUGAGGCGUUUUAUGCAGAUUUUGAGAAGAAGAAACUAGUGAUGACGAUUCCUCCCAUCGCUGAUCCACUGGAGUUCCCCAGAUUCUACGAGUGGGCCGAGGAUAGCAUGCCCGUCUGCCAAAACAACUUAAAGUUGUCGACAGAGGAAUUUAAAGACCGGCCGGUGCCACAGGAUGCCCCACAAAGCUCCAUCUAUCCCAAAGAAAAGAUGCAGCUGGGUUCAGAGAACAUGCUCAUCUGUCAUUCCGCACAAUUUUUCCCUCCACCUGUUACUGUACGCUGGACCAAAAACAGUGUGGAUGUGACGGAACAAUCCACACUCAGCCGCUAUUACCCGAAUGAGGACAAAACCUACAACCAGUUCUCCCACCUGCCCUUCACUCCACAGGAAGGAGACGUUUACAGCUGCACGGUGGAGCACGAGGCCCUGGAGACGCCCGACACCAAGACAUGGGAGGUGAAUGUUGAGCUUCCCAGUGUGGGUCCCUCUGUGUUCUGUGGAGUGGGUCUGGCUGUCGGACUGCUCGGAGUCGCUACUGGAACUUUCUUCCUCGUCAAAGGAAACAUGUAACUGACACUUCAGGUAAAGGUGUAGAUCUGGAGGGUCCUCAGGCAUGCAGUGUUUUGGUAAACUGGGAUGUAUGGAUGCUGUAUCCCCCCAAACUCAGACCUGCCUGAUCCAUCCUGAUGUCCUAUGUCUGGCUGGAGUCUCAUCACACCCCUCCUGUGGAAGAUGGCCCCAUAUGGACAGCCAAAAGACACACUCAGAAGAUGGCUCUGGAC